rnacentral:rRNA from 1 species
UUAAGAGCUUGCUCUUAUGAAGUUAGCGGCGGACGGGUGAGUAACACGUGGGUAACCUGCCCAUAAGACUGGGAUAACUCCGGGAAACCGGGGCUAAUACCGGAUAACAUUUUGAACCGCAUGGUUCGAAAUUGAAAGGCGGCUUCGGCUGUCACUUAUGGAUGGACCCGCGUCGCAUUAGCUAGUUGGUGAGGUAACGGCUCACCAAGGCAACGAUGCGUAGCCGACCUGAGAGGGUGAUCGGCCACACUGGGACUGAGACACGGCCCAGACUCCUACGGGAGGCAGCAGUAGGGAAUCUUCCGCAAUGGACGAAAGUCUGACGGAGCAACGCCGCGUGAGUGAUGAAGGCUUUCGGGUCGUAAAACUCUGUUGUUAGGGAAGAACAAGUGCUAGUUGAAUAAGCUGGCACCUUGACGGUACCUAACCAGAAAGCCACGGCUAACUACGUGCCAGCAGCCGCGGUAAUACGUAGGUGGCAAGCGUUAUCCGGAAUUAUUGGGCGUAAAGCGCGCGCAGGUGGUUUCUUAAGUCUGAUGUGAAAGCCCACGGCUCAACCGUGGAGGGUCAUUGGAAACUGGGAGACUUGAGUGCAGAAGAGGAAAGUGGAAUUCCAUGUGUAGCGGUGAAAUGCGUAGAGAUAUGGAGGAACACCAGUGGCGAAGGCGACUUUCUGGUCUGUAACUGACACUGAG